CACUCCUACGGGAGGCAGCAGUGGGGAAUAUUGCACAAUGGGCGCAAGCCUGAUGCAGCGACGCCGCGUGGGGGAUGAAGGCCUUCGGGUUGUAAACUCCUUUCGCUAGGGACGAAGCUUUUUUGUGACGGUACCUAGAUAAGAAGCACCGGCUAACUACGUGCCAGCAGCCGCGGUAAUACGUAGGGUGCGAGCGUUGUCCGGAAUUACUGGGCGUAAAGGGCUCGUAGGUGGUUUGUCGCGUCGUCUGUGAAAUUCUGGGGCUUAACUCCGGGCGUGCAGGCGAUACGGGCAUAACUUGAGUGCUGUAGGGGUAACUGGAAUUCCUGGUGUAGCGGUGAAAUGCGCAGAUAUCAGGAGGAACACCGAUGGCGAAGGCAGGUUACUGGGCAGUUACUGACGCUGAGGAGCGAAAGCAUGGGUAGCGAACAGGAUUAGAUACCCUUGUAGUCCC
rnacentral:rRNA from 1 species